UACCAGCACCCCGAGUGGUCGGGACGAUUAUUGGGCCUAAAGCAUCCGUAGCCGGUUCUACAGGUCUUCCGUUAAAUCCACCUGCUUAACAGAUGGGCUGCGGAGGAUACUAUGGAGCUAGGAGGCGGGAGAGGCAAGCGGUACUUAGUGGGUAGGGGUAAAAUCCGUUGAUCCAUUGAAGACCACCAGUGGCGAAGGCGGCUUGCCAGAACGCACUCGACGGUGAGGGAUGAAAGCUGGGGGAGCAAACCGG
rnacentral:rRNA from 1 species